UAUGAACCCAAAAGGAGCCAACAUCCAGAUGGGACAGUGGUCCCAAGAGUCUGUUCCAGGAUUGAUCUUCCAGAACCAAAGUCAGUAUAACUUGGAGCAUGAAGUAAUCCAGAAGAAACUGAACCAGCUCUCUGUCCAAAUGAAAGAUGAUUGGGAUAUGAGGGCCAAAAAAAGUUGAAGCUUUCCAGCUCAUUGAACAACUGAACAAAAUCUUGAGCAAGGAUACCUGGACAUCUGGGAAAGACUGGGGAGAAGAGAACAGGAAUUGUACUUGGGUCUAUCCAAAAAGGUCUGAGUUCAGGGGUCAGAAGAGGGAGCCCUUGCCAAGUUCUAUUUAUUACCCCAAAUCAGUAUAACUUAGAGCAUGGAGCAAUCCACAAGAAACUGAGCCAGAUCUCUGCCCAGUUGACAGAUUGGGGUAAAACCAGCAACUAGGGAAAAAUCAUUUAGUAUUAGUGAAAAGAAUCAAUCACUAAGUGAAGGGUUCAUCAAUUUGCAGCAAGAAGGCACACAAGAAAGACACUAAGAGUCUUUAGGGAAGGGAUUUCUUGAGUAGGGAUUUGUAGCAGAUGACCCUUGAAAUCCCUCACAAGUCUGAGUCUCUAGGGAUUGAGGAGCAGGAAUACCAGAACAACUGAGUUCU
rnacentral:lncRNA from 1 species